CAUCCAACUUUCCUAAUUCCAUCAACAAAUAACAAUAAGGGCCUAUAUUUAUGUCACCACCACAUUAGCCUAACCCAUUUUUCUCACAGCUUUCUAUGUUUGACUGCAACUCUCUAUAUAUAUAUGCACUGGCCAAAAUAAAGAAAAAUGGUGAUUUUGUUAGUACUAAAAAUAGCUGCUACUACUCCAAAGGAAAGGGUGAUAGAUAGAAGAAGGGCAAUAGCAGAGUAAUUAAAGAGGAGCGGAGGAUCCCCUUAUUACAGCCCCUUUGAUGCCACUGCUAUGGGUUGCAGUGUUUGGUCAGUAACAAAGAUUAAAGGUCUUUGUAAUCUCAUCAUCACUUCUCUCUCUCUACUGUACUGCAACUUCUGCUGCUACCUUGUGCUAUUUUUACUUUUUUGUACUACCCAACAACCAGAUAUCACCCAUCCAAAAACUCUUUUAACUUUUGCCAUUCGGCCACAACUAGCUAGGUUCAAUUUUUACACCCUAAAAUUCUUUUCAUUCUUAGUGGGGAAAUUGGCUUAACUGGUGAGUUGAUGUCAUCACAUGCGAUCAAAAGGUUACAUAUUCGUAUCGUAAAAACAAGUUUUUAUAAAAAUAUAAGAUAAAUUAUAUAUUUAAUAAAUUUUAAUGGUUCGACUCUCCUUUUAAUUCAAUGCAUAACACAUGUUUAAUACAUCAAAUGUUCAAAUUGUCUUUUUGUCUCCUAAGUCUUUGGUGUCCCACUAGGUAUUGUUGUCCCGGGACUUUCCUUUUAGUUUUUAUAGAAUACUUUCUCCAGUUUACGAUAAGUGUUCAAUUUAUUUUUUAUUUUAGAUUAAAAUAAAUAUUUAAUUAUAUAAUUAAGAAAAAUUUUAAUUCGUUCUCACAAAAUAACUCCUAUGUACAUAUUUCUAAAAAAAAUUCUUACUCCUCACAUUACAAUAACAACAAUCCGACAACUUCCCGGCUGCCUUCUGCCAAAAGAUGUGGCCUCAUACAUUAAUAAAGCUAUUGAAGUCUCUUAAAAGCAGGUCUAUAUUCCCAUAAAUUUUUUUACUCCUCAUAUUAAAUAUUUAAUUAUAGGUAAUUUAAUUAUUCUAUGUAUUUUUAUAUAAUAUUUAAUAUUUUUUUAAUAAAUAUGCUAAAAAUAAAUUGACUACUUAUUAGGUUAGGAAGCGAAGGGAGUUACAAGUUACAACUAUUUGGUUAUUUAGCUCAAAUUGACCACUGAACUUCUUUUUCUAUACUGAAAGUGACACCUUACAGCUUCUUUUUCUGUUUUCUCUAGAUCACACCUUUUUUUUCUCCUUCUUUAUUGCUUCACUUAAAAGAAACAACAUCAUCUUUUUUUAAAUUAGCUUUCAUUUUUGGACUAUGUAAUUACACUGCAUGUCCUUGUGUCUACUUGCCUUCCACCAAUGACCAAUAAAUUACUCUUCCAGUUUAGGAUUUUCUAUUUAUCCAAGUCCUUGACUGUAUUAAAUAUGUCCCUUCAAAAAUCACUCUCAUUGUCCAUGACGCAGUACUAUGUGCCUAAUUUUUAUAUUGUAUAUUAGCCAAAUAUAAAAAUAGAAUGUUGUAUACAGAAGAUAUACCAGUAGUAUAUUUUUGGGGAAUAAGCUCAUAGGAAUUGAGGAUUAAGGAAAUGGAAAAGGAAAAAGAGAAAGGCAUAGAUAGUGUCAAAAUCUUGGUGAGGGUGAGGCAUUACUGUUCCCUAUAGAUCCAUGUCUGCCUAAAUGCAGUCACACUGCCCAUAACACUUCUCAAAACUCUGAUUUGGGAGACAAAAGGCUUCAUGUUUUAUACAUUCUCAGUACGUUCUCGGGUUUAUUUUAUUUUAUUUUUUUAAACCAAUUCCUAGUACAAAAGAUAAGUAAACUAACUUCACUGUGGACCAGUGCACUCAAUGGUAUUUGUAUUGGAUAGACAAACAUUCUUGCCAAUUUAACAGUCCACUUUAAAAUUUACCUUAUUUGAGAUUGCCCAAAUUCAUCACACAGUCAAAAAUAUUUUUGGGAUAAACUUUUAAUACUAUUGUUUUAUCCCUAGUUUGGAAACUAGUUUAGGGACAAAGUUAUUUCAGAAUUAAAAUUAAUAUCGGAAUAAUUUUUAUAUAUAUAUAUAUAUCUAUUGUUUGCAGUGUUUGGUCAGUAACAAAGAUUAAAGGUCUUUGUAAUCUCAUCAUCACUUCUCUCUCUCUCCUGUACUGCAUCUUCUGCUGCUACCCUUGUGCUAUUUUUACUUUUUUGUACUGCCCAAAGUGGAUAUCACCAACCCAAAAACUCUUUUACCUUUUGCCAUUCGGCCACAACUAGCU
rnacentral:lncRNA from 1 species